UACAGAGGGGGCAAGCGUUGUUCGGAAUUACUGGGCGUAAAGGGCGCGUAGGCGGCCCUCUAAGUCAGACGUGAAAUCCCCCGGCUUAACCUGGGAACUGCGUCUGAUACUGGACGGCUCGAGUUUGGGAGAGGGAUGCAGAAUUCCAGGUGUAGCGGUGAAAUGCGUAGAUAUCUGGAGGAAUACCGGUGGCGAAGGCGGCAUCCUGGACCAUUACUGACGCUGAGGCGCGAAAGCUAGGGGAGCAAACGGG
rnacentral:rRNA from 1 species